UACGUGGGACCCAAGCGUUAUCCGGAAUUACUGGGCGUAAAGAGUUGCGUAGGUGGCAAUGUAAGUAGAUAGUGAAAUCGUGUGGCUCAACCAUGCAUCCAUUAUCUAAACUGCAUAGCUUGAGUAUGGGAGAGGUAGAUGGAAUUUCUAGUGUAGGAGUGAAAUCCGUAGAUAUUAGAAGGAACACCGAUGGCGUAAGCAGUCUACUGGCCCAUUACUGACACUAAGGCACGAAAGCGUGGGGAGCGAACGGG
rnacentral:rRNA from 1 species